rnacentral:rRNA from 1 species
GAUCAUGGCUCAGGAUGAGCGCUAGCUACAGGCUUAACACAUGCAAGUCGAGGGGCAGCAUUAACUUAGCUUGCUAAGUUUGAUGGCGACCGGCGCACGGGUGAGUAACACGUAUCCAACCUGCCGAUGACUCGGGGAUAGCCUUUCGAAAGAAAGAUUAAUACCCGAUGGCAUAGUUCUUCCGCAUGGUAGAACUAUUAAAGGAUUUCGGUCAUCGAUGGGGAUGCGUUCCAUUAGG